rnacentral:tRNA from 1 species
GUUUUUAAGGUGUUAACAUAUUACAUUUUCACUGUAAAGUUGAAGAAAAAGUCUUCUAAAAAUA